rnacentral:rRNA from 1 species
AUUGAACGCUGGCGGCAUGCCUUACACAUGCAAGUCGAACGGUAACAGGUCUUCGGAUGCUGACGAGUGGCGGACGGGUGAGUAAUGCAUCGGAACGUGCCCAGUAGUGGGGGAUAGCCCGGCGAAAGCCGGAUUAAUACCGCAUACGACCUGAGGGUGAAAGGGGGGGAUCGCAAGACCUCUCGCUAUUGGAGCGGCCGAUGUCAGAUUAGCUAGUUGGUGGGGUAAAGGCCUACCAAGGCAACGAUCUGUAGUUGGUCUGAGAGGACGACCAGCCACACUGGGACUGAGACACGGCCCAGACUCCUACGAGAGUCAGCAGUGGGGAAUUUUGGACAAUGGGCGCAAGCCUGAUCCAGCCAUGCCGCGUGUCUGAAGAAGGCCUUCGGGUUGUAAAGGACUUUUGUCAGGGAGGAAAUCCUAGUGGCUAAUAACUGCUGGGGAUGACGGUACCUGAAGAAUAAGCACCGGCUAACUACGUGCCAGCAGCCGCCGUAACAC